GGGCCUUUAGCUUAGUUGGUAGAGCGCCUCAUUUGCAAUGAGGAGGUCGGGAGUUCGAAUCUCCCAGGGUCCA
rnacentral:tRNA from 1 species